rnacentral:rRNA from 1 species
UACGUAGGGUGCGAGCGUUAAUCGGAAUUACUGGGCGUAAAGUGUGCGCAGGCGGCGUCGCAAGUCGAGUGUGAAAGCCCCCGAGCUUAACUUGGGAAUUGCGCUCGAAACUACGAUGCUGGAGUGUGGCAGAGGAAGGUGGAAUUCCACGUGUAGCGGUGAAAUGCGUAGAGAUGUGGAGGAACACCGAUGGCGAAGGCAGCCUUCUGGGCCAACACUGACGCUCAUGCACGAAAGCGUGGGGAGCAAACAGG